GACGAACGCUGGCGGCGUGCUUAACACAUGCAAGUCGAACGGAAAGGCCCUGCUUUUGUGGGGUGCUCGAGUGGCGAACGGGUGAGUAACACGUGAGUAACCUGCCCUUGACUUUGGGAUAACUUCAGGAAACUGGGGCUAAUACCGGGUAGGAGCUCCUGCUGCAUGGUGGGGGUUGGAAAGUUUCGGCGGUUGGGGAUGGACUCGCGGCUUAUCAGCUUGUUGGUGGGGUAGUGGCUUACCAAGGCUUUGACGGGUAGCCGGCCUGAGAGGGUGACCGGCCACAUUGGGACUGAGAUACGGCCCAGACUCCUACGGGAGGCAGCGGUGGGGAAUAUUGCACAAUGGGCGGAAGCCUGAUGCAGCAACGCCGCGUGCGGGAUGACGGCCUUCGGGUUGUAAACCGCUUUCGCCUGUGACGAAGCGUGAGUGACGGUAAUGGGUAAAGAAGCACCGGCUAACUACGUGC
rnacentral:rRNA from 1 species